rnacentral:lncRNA from 1 species
CCCUGAUCGUCUGUCAUAUGCGCUUCCCAUAUCCUGAGCCUGCUUAGAAGGGACUCAAUAACGGAGAUCUUCUUUGACACGCGGACCUAGUUUCCACCAACCCAGAUGUACCCGAUUCAGUGAUGACACUGACGGUACUAUCCCAUUUUUUUUGGCUUAGGGCCUGAUGCUUAGUUUCCUUCUAACUUAGUACUGAUCUUUAUUGUCCGAUUUGCUUUCUUAGUGCUGACACCCUCGUAUGCCGAUCAACCAAUGAAGCGGCAGAAGAACCUAUUUGACAGUAAUCUAGAAGGAACUUCAGAAAAAGACUGGAAAGUAAGGAACGAAGUGCUCGACCGAACAAGCAACGGCUGACGAGAUAGGGGCGCGCUAGCGCUCAAGCCUAUUCUAAUAAGGGCGUUAGCGCAUCCGUUUUCUUGCUGGGGCGUAGCGGUUUGAAAUUUGGAAAAUAUGGAGAGUCACAGAACGAACAUGGUGCGGAGAUUGGAGGUGUUGAAAAAAGGAGAAUAUUGAGAUGUUG